CCUGAUAAGGCAGCAGCUGGUUUCCUUCUCAUCUCGCACUCCAAAUCUGAGUCUGUUUUACAGAUCAGGCCCUGGGCGUGCUAGGGACCCAAUCCGAGCCACCUGCAUUCCCUUCUCAGCUGUGGAGAGAAGAACCCUCUACUCUCCCGGAGAUCCUCGCAAUUGUCAUGAUUCCCUGCGGGCCAAGAGAACGCAACCCAGUGGCUACGCGUCUCUACCCUACCUCGACUAGAGAUUUCCAAGGCAAACCAGGAUCCAGCUGGGGACUGUGGACCAGUAGGUGGCGCUCUUCCCCCUGGAUGAGACUUUCCAAUCCCGUG